AAGAAGGAUCCAAAAUUUGGGAGAUGAGUUAGAAAGAGAUCUAGAUUACGUAUAUCUCAUAUCUUCUACUUUUUCAAUGGCCUUUUGAAACCCUAAACCCAUGGCCGUUUCUAGCUGCCCUACCGCUUUCCCACCAUUCGAGUGUCGUUCUCUGGCCUUCCACCAAAGCUCAUUUCUCUUCCAAACCCGGCGUCGCUUCCUUUACCGGCCGGUUCUUCCGCCUAAUCGCCAUGGUCUUUCAUCUCUCAUCUUCAGGUGUCCUCCCAACAUUGUUUGUCAGGCAACUUAGCAUCAAAGCUCGUAGAAAUUGCAGCAACAUUGGUGUCGCACAAGUCGUUGCUGCUUCUUGGUCUUCAUCUCCGCUCAAAUCUGUCCGAUGCAGCUGCUGCUUCUACUGCUCCUGCUGCUGUAUUGACUGGCGACGACGACGACGAGGUGAAAGACUAGGUCGCGGCAUUGUUACUGAUGCAAUAACCACUCCUGUAGUCAAUACAUCUGCCUACUUCUUUUUCAAGAAAACUUCUGACCUCAUUGAUUUCAAGGGAGAAGCGCAGUAAAAGUUUUGAAUGUGGGCGUUAUGGAAACCCAACUACUGUGGUUGUAGAAGAGAAAUUGAGAGUUGAGAAUUGUGAGGAGAACGAAGAUGAAGAAUCUGAAAAUAAAGAUGAUGAUAAAGAAGUUGAGAAUGAAGAUGAUCAAAGAGGAUGAAGAUGAUGAUCGAAGAAAUACACAUUUUGAAAUUAAUGAUGAUGCACUACGGAGCGGAAAAAGACAUCUAUCUAUGUCUUGGAAGUAUAAAAAUAUUUAUGAAUGUGACAUCCGUAUGGACAAAUUAAGAUCGAAAAGAUUUAAAUUUUUUUUUUGAUUGUAAACUUAUUUGAUACUUAUUUUUGUAAUCUAUUAUGGAUACUCUUAUUUGA